rnacentral:rRNA from 1 species
GAUGGGUAGCCGGCCUGAGAGGGUGUACGGCCACACUGGCACUGAGACAAGGGCCAGUCCCCUAUGGGAGGCGCAGGCGGGAAUAGUUCACAAUGGGCGAAAGCCUGAUGACGCGACGCCGCGUGAGCGAAGAAGACCUUCGGGUUGUAAAGCUCUGUCAGGAGGGAAGAAGGCUCUACGGGUUAAUAGCCCGUGGAAUUGACGGUACCUCCAGAGGAAGCCCCGGCUAAAUACGUGCCAGCAGCCGCGGUAAUACGUAUGGGGCAAGCGUUGUCCGGAUUUACUGGGCGUAAAGGGCGCGUAGGCGGUUUGUUAAGUCGAAGGUGAAAUCCUCGGGCUCAACUCGAGAAUUGCCUUCGAUACUGGCAAACUAGAGUGGCGGAGAGGAAAGCGGAACUCUUGGUGUAACGGUGGAAUGUGUAGAUAUCAAGAGGAACACCGGUGGCGAAGGCGGCUUUCUGGACGCACACUGACGCUCAGGCGCGAAAGCGUGGGUAGCAAACAGGAUUAGAUACCCUGGUAGUCCACGCCAUAAACGAUGGGUACUAGGUGUCGGGGGUAUCGACCCCUCCGGUGCCGCAGUUAACGCACUAAGUACCCCGCCUGGGGAUUAUGGUCGCAAGGCUGAAACUCAAAGGAAUUGACGGGGCCCCGCACAAGCGGUGGAGCAUGUGGUUUAAUUCGACGCAACGCGAAGAACCUUACCUGGGCUUGACAUGCUUGGGACAGCGCUGGAAACAGCGUCUCUCCUUCGGGAGCCCUUGCACAGGUGCUGCAUGGCCGUCGUCAGCUCGUGUCGUGAGAUGUUGGGUUAAGUCCCGCAACGAGCGCAACCCUCGUUACUAGUUGCCAUCAGUUCGGCUGGGCACUCUAGUGAGACUGCCGGUGAUAAACCGGAGGAAGGUGAGGAUGAUGUCAAGUCAUCAUGGCCCUUACGCCCAGGGCUACACACGUGCUACAAUGGUCGGCACAAAGGGUCGCUAAGCCGCGAGG